rnacentral:rRNA from 1 species
AUGAACGCUGGCGGCGUGCCUCAUACAUGCAGGUCGAGCGAACAGAUAAGGAGCUUGCUCCUUUGACGUUAGCGGCGGACGGGUGAGUAACACGUGGGUAACCUACCUAUAAGACUGGGAUAACUUCGGGAAACCGGAGCUAAUACCGGAUAACAUUUGGAACCGCAUGGUUCUAAAGUGAAAGAUGGUUUUGCUAUCACUUAUAGAUGGACCCGCGCCGUAUUAGCUAGUUGGUAAGGUAACGGCUUACCAAGGCGACGAUACGUAGCCGACCUGAGAGGGUGAUCGGCCACACUGGAACUGAGACACGGUCCAGACUCCUACGGGAGGCAGCAGUAGGGAAUCUUCCGCAAUGGGCGAAAGCCUGACGGAGCAACGCCGCGUGAGUGAUGAAGGGUUUCGGCUCGUAAAACUCUGUUAUUAGGGAAGAACAAAUGUGUAAGUAACUGUGCACGUCUUGACGGUACCUAAUCAGAAAGCCACGGCUAACUACGUG